rnacentral:rRNA from 1 species
UACGAAGGGGGCUAGCGUUGUUCGGAAUUACUGGGCGUAAAGCGCACGUAGGCGGAUCGAUCGGUCAGGGGUGAAAUCCCAGGGCUCAACCCUGGAACUGCCUUUGAUACUGUCGAUCUGGAGUAUGGAAGAGGUGAGUGGAAUUCCGAGUGUAGAGGUGAAAUUCGUAGAUAUUCGGAGGAACACCAGUGGCGAAGGCGGCUCACUGGUCCAUUACUGACGCUGAGGUGCGAAAGCGUGGGGAGCAAACAGG